rnacentral:rRNA from 1 species
AUUGAACGCUGGCGGCAGGCUUAACACAUGCAAGUCGAGCGGGGUGAUGGUGCUUGCACUAUCACUUAGCGGCGGACGGGUGAGUAAUGCUUAGGAAUCUGCCUAUUAGUGGGGGACAACAUCUCGAAAGGGAUGCUAAUACCGCAUACGUCCUACGGGAGAAAGCAGGGGAUCACUUGUGACCUUGCGCUAAUAGAUGAGCCUAAGUCGGAUUAGCUAGUUGGUGGGGUAAAGGCCUACCAAGGCGACGAUCUGUAGCGGGUCUGAGAGGAUGAUCCGCCACACUGGGACGGGGACAUGGCCCAGACUCCUACGGGAGGCAGCAGUGGGGAAUAUUGGACAAUGGGGGGAACCCUGAUCCAGCCAUGCCGCGUGUGUGAAGAAGGCCUUAUGGUUGUAAAGCACUUUAAGCGAGGAGGAGGCUCUUUUGGUUAAUACCCAAGAUGAGUGGACGUUACUCGCAGAAUAAGCACCGGCUAACUCUGUGCCAGCCGCCGCAGUAA